GACGAACGCUGGCGGCGUGCUUAACACAUGCAAGUCGAACGGUGAAGCGCCUUCCUUUUUGGUGGGUGUGGAUGAGUGGCCAACGGGUGAGUAACACGUGAGUAACCUGCCCCCUUCUUCUGGAUAACCGCAUGAAAGUGUGGCUAAUACGGGAUAUUCUGGGUCUGUCGCAUGAUGGGUGUGGGAAGGAUUUUGUUUCGGUGGGGGAUGGGCUCGCGGCGUAUUAGCUUGUUGGUGGGGUGACGGCUUACCAAGGCGGCGAUGGGUAGCCGACCUGAGAGGGGGGUGGGCGGCCCUGCUGGGGAUACGCCACGGCGAAUCCUCCUACAGGCAGCAGUAGGGAAGAUUAUGCCACGGUGGGAGGAAGGAUGAUGCAGCGACGCCGCGGGGAGGAUGGAGUCCGGCGGGUAGUAAUCCGCUUUCGCGGGAGAAGCAGUGCUGCCUCGUUUGUGGGUGGGUUGACGGUAACUGGAGAAGAAGCGCCGGCUAACUACGUG
rnacentral:rRNA from 1 species